rnacentral:rRNA from 1 species
UUGACCUCGGAUCAGGUGGGGAUACCCGCUGAACUUAAGCAUAUCAAUAAGCGGAGGAAAAGAAACCAACGGGGAUUGCCCUAGUAACGGCGAGUGAAGCGGCAAAAGCUCAGAUUUGAAAUCUGGCGUCUUUGGCGUCCGAGUUGUAAUCUGUAGAGGAUGCCUUUGGGUAGCCACCGGUCUAAGUCCCCUGGAACGGGGCGUCGCAGAGGGUGAGAAUCCCGUAUGUGACCGGAAGGGCACCCUCCACAUGGCUCCUUCGACGAGUCGAGUUGUUUGGGAAUGCAGCUCUAAAUGGGAGGUAAAUUCCUUCUAAAGCUAAAUACCGGCCAGAGACCGAUAGCGCACAAGUAGAGUGAUCGAAAGAUGAAAAGCACUUUGGAAAGAGAGUUAAAAAGCACGUGAAAUUGUUGAAAGGGAAGCGCUUGCAACCAGACUUGUUGGCGGUGUUCCGCCGGUCUUCUGACCGGUUCAUUCGCCGCCUGCAGGCCAGCAUCAUCUGGGGCCGCCGGAUAAAAGCGGUGGGAAUGUAGCUCCCUCGGGAGUGUUAUAGCCCUCCGUGUAAUACGGCGCGUCCCGGGUGAGGUCCGCGCUUCGGCUAGGAUGCUGGCGUAAUGGUCGUAAGCGGCCCGUCUUGAAACACGGACCAAGGAGUCUAACAUCUAUGCGAGUGUUCGGGUGUCAAACCCCUACGCGUAAUGAAAGUGAACGGAGGUGGGAACCUUAGGGUGCACCAUCGACCGAUCCUGAUGUCUUCGGAUGGAUUUGAGUAAGAGCAUAGCUGUUGGGACCCGAAAGAUGGUGAACUAUGCCUGGAUAGGGUGAAGCCAGAGGAAACUCUGGUGGAGGCUCGCAGCGGUUCUGACGUGCAAAUCGAUCGUCAAAUUUGGGUAUAGGGGCGAAAGACUAAUCGAAC